CCCUGACUCUUCAAAGCCCAAUAAAAUACGAAUAUAAAGGGAUUAUCCUUGAACAGGAAGAACUUAUAGACUGCGGUAUCAAUUAAAUUGAGAGAAGUGCAGUGAAUACUGAACUGGAGGCUGACCAACCUUUAAUUGCUGCUUUUCAGGUCGGGGUGGAAGAAGCUGUUGGAAUAACUGCGUUCCAGAUUGAGAUGGUCGGGAUGCGUGAGUCAGAACUGCUGAGCCUGUGGAGAGAGUUGCAGGGGCCAGAGAAGAAACUGAUAUCUCGAUUGCAGGAGGCUGAAGAGGCUGCAGGAGCAGUGCAGGCCACGUGUUUCCGUUUGGAGAAGAUCAAACAGCAGCUACCGAUCGCAGAAAUGAGGAAGAAUAAGGAUUCUAUGUGCUGGAUGUGUGUUAGACCUGUGGUGAGAGGUUAAUUGGAAGAAAAAAACCUAACUGGAAGCCAACCACGCCUGAAGACGAGGGAACAGCAACAAGUGAACCAGCCCGAGGACUGAAAGCAUAAACUGGAGAGAACAACUCUGAAUCAACUGACUCGGAGUUCUCAUUGAUUCAGCUGUGCAGUCCAACCAUUCACCUCAGAAGGAUUUUUUUAUAUGGCGUUAAAAUUGUGGAACGUUAAGUUAAUAAUACGUAAAAGAAAAUCCCAGAUGCACGUCAAGAAAGACUAUUUGUGUGAGACUGUUUCAGUUACUGUGGGGCCAGUCACCCAUGCAGCUCAGCAGGAACAGGGAAUCAUACCAAUGGAGAGAGUCAAACUGAGCCAAGGCACAGAUUGGAGACGGCAGAAAUGCCCCAGUCUUAUUUAAGACAGGAAGAUCAUCAGGGAAUUAAUGGUCAUUCCAGACACCAGCACUCUGCCCAGUCAGGAGAUGAUUUCUCUGUCCAACUCGGGUUCAACCUCAUUGUAACAGUGAGGAACAGCCAGAUCAAAAAUUGGCGACUCAAGUAAUCUCAUCUGAAAUGUUGUCCUACAGCCAUUGAUGGACGUUGUAAAUCAUUUUACAGGUUAAAAACGAGAAGGAAUUUGUCUCCAGGAAUCUCAAACACAGCCCGCCAGUUUUGCUGUCUCUGUCCAGAUAUUUAAGAAGUGGAGCGAGGGAUUCAAUCGACCAUCCUUCCUGCUCAGACUGUGGGGAGGGAUUUAUUCGGUCAUCCUUCCUGCUCAGAAUGAGGGAAGAGAUUCACUC